rnacentral:lncRNA from 1 species
CAGCAGUAUGUGAGCGAACAAUUGGUGAUGGGGGAGGGGAGAGGCAGACAGAUCCAAACGUUCCAGAACAGUCCAGGGGCAGAAUGAGCUGGGGGGGGGGGUGGGGCAGGGGGCUCUUGCAGAAGUUUUGGAAGUUGAUGAACACACAGUCAGACAUCUGGGCAGAGUCUGGAGGUGGAAACCUGAACCGAGAGACAGAUACUGUGGCUGUGGGGAAAGCAGGCAAUAGGAAACGGGGCUUCCCCAAGGAGCGGCCCUGGUAUUCCAACUCUGGCAAUUCAAGAUAGGGGAACCAAGCAAGGUCUACAUCUCAGGGAAACAGAGAUGUUCCCAGCAGCACCUAAGGAUGCCCAUUAGCACCUAGCGCUGGGGCUACAAUGUUGCAAGCACUUGCUAUUCCUGGAAGAAAAGAGUGAGCAAAUUGUGAAUCAUU